CAGUGCCUUAUAACAGCUGUAGUAAGUAACAGCACCCACACGUCAGUAUUUACAGAACAUAAUCUAACUAAAUAGUCAAAUAUUUAAAUAUAUAUCAUUUUAUAGGUAUAAAAGAGCGAACUAAACCAUUUCCGUACACAACCCCAUACUCCUGAGUUGGUACAGCCCACCUUCCCGCCUCUAGCUCCGUGCCUAAGCGGUUGGAUUGCAGGAUUUUGGGGUCUGGGUGUAGAUGCGAUACAGUUGGUACAGUGUGAAGAAAUUAAGGCACGCUAUGGAAAAACUGGACGAAAUAACAAUUGCCAACCUGAAAGAAGCAAAUGUUGGAGAAGACCUGCUCUCAUCACUUUCACGAGAUGACAUCAAAGAUCUGUUUCCUGGUCCUGAACAUUGCCUCAGGCGUCGGGCUCUAUGGCUUGCAGUGCACAAAUGUGAAGAAUGGAACAUGCAGCAGCUGUGUUCAGAGCCCUUCCCAUGCUUUUCCCUUCCAGCACAGUACCACCUAAGAAGCUGGGCAUCUGUAGUGAGGCUUUUUUCCAUGUCCUAAAGGUAAGGCUGCAAUAUUCUAUGUGUAUAUAUUGUUGAAUUUUGCAGUUACUCAUGUUUUCAUUUUAUAUAUUUUACUGUGGAGUCAGUCA